CCGGAUCCCAACCGCUGCCGCGCCCAGCUUAUCAAGACUGUGUCAUUUCCUUUUCUUCCUCCAGGGUGAUUCUUUUCUCCAUAUUACAAGAGAUGUGUCAACUACAGUCCAGUGCCUGCCUGCUUGGCGUUCAAGGAGAUAAACAUUUCUUUGAGAACUUGCCAUCUGCCAGAAGCUGUGACGGCCCUGAGGCCCCAGAAAGAAAGGCAAGCCCCUUGUUUGGAGUAGAGGAAACAAAUAAAGAGUGUGCCACCCCACCCGUCUUAACUGCUGCCUGAUCUUGCUCCAGACUCGUGAGGAAUUGGGGUAACGGCGUAACUAAGUUUCAACUUAGCUCGAAAUAUGGAAUUUCAAAUGAAAAAAUUUCAAAUUAAU